UACGUAGGGAGCAAGCGUUGUCCGGAUUUAUUGGGCGUAAAGCGCUCGCAGGCGGUUCGGUAAGUCGGUUGUGAAAACUCUGGGCUCAACCCGGAGAGGCCAACCGAUACUGCUGUGACUCGAGUCUGGUAGGGGAGCACGGAAUUCCUGGUGUAGCGGUGAAAUGCACAGAUAUCAGGAGGAACACCAGCGGCGAAGGCGGCGCUCUGGGCCGGUACUGACACUGAGGAGCGAAAGCCAGGGGAGCAAACGGG
rnacentral:rRNA from 1 species